AUGGAUUGCACAAGUCAAGCAAUCAAUGAAUUGGAGGAGAAGAAGAAGCAACUUGAGGAGCAGGCAAAGAUUGAGCUUCAAAUGGAGAAGCUUAAGCUCAAGAAAGAACAGAGGUGCAUCCUUCAGAGUCAAGCCGAUAUAAUCCAAAACACAAGGAAGGCCAUGAAGGAGCUAGAGGUGGAGAAAGACCUACUUAAAGAAGAGAAGAAGAAGCUGGAGAAUGUCAUUGUUGAGCUCCUGAAGGUUGGUCAUGGGUGCAAGGAAAAGCUAGACAAGAUAAAGGAAGUUGUGAUGGAGGAGUGA
rnacentral:rRNA from 1 species